UUCCCAGAUUUCUUUAUUAUUCUCUUUUGUUUAUAGAACUUUCUUUGGCCGUUCCUUUAGGGUUUCUGGAAAAAAUUCUUUUAGUUUGCCUUUGUCUGGAUAUCCUCUCCAUUUCUCUCUUUCUCCCUUUCUUACUUUCUUGCUUGCUUGCUGGUUUUUGUUUUUUAGGGCUGUACAUGAAGCAUAUGGAAGUUUCCAGGCUAGGGGUUGAAUCAGAGCUACAGCUGCUGGCCUAUGUCAUAGCCACAGCAAUAUGGGAUCGAGGCCACCUCUGAGAUCUACACCACAGCUCACAGCAAUGCUAGAUCCUCAACCCACUGAGCAAGGCCUAGGGUCAAACCUGAAUCCUCAUGGAUAUUAGUCAGAUUUGUUGCUGCUGCGCCACAAUGGGAACUCCCUCCUCUACAUUUCUGAAGAAUAUGGACACUGGAUAUAAGAUACCUAGCUGACAGUCUUCUUUUAGCACUUGAGAAAUACUGUGCCACUUCCUCUAAGCUUCCACAGUUUCUAGUAAGAAAACCACUGUCAUUCAAAUUAUUAUGUUUCUGUAUAUAAGGUAUCAUUUCUCUCUUGAUGUUUGCAAAUGUUUUCUUUGGAUAUAGCUUUCAAAAGUUUGACUAUAGUGUGUUUCAUUUUGGUGUUUGGGGGUUUCUUGCUGAACUCAAUUUCUUGAAUUUGUAAAUGUAUGUCUUCUGCCAAAUUUGGGAACUUUUUUUUUCAGCCAUUAUUCUUCAACUAUUUUUUCAUUCCUGCCCUUUUCCUUCUCUUCCAUCUGGACACUGAUAACACAAAUAUUAAUUCCUUAUCAAAGUCUCACAGAUCCCUGAGGCUCUGUUUAUUCUUUUAAAGUCUAUUUUCUUUGUUUUUCAUAUUGGGUAACUCUAUUGUUCUUCUACUUCUUAGAUUCUUCCUCUGUUCCCUUUACUUUGCUUUUGAGCACAUCCAUUGAAUUUUUAUUUCAAUUAUUGUGUUUUCCAGUUUUAAAAUAUUCAUUUGUAGAAAUUUUAUUUUUCAAAUUUGUUUUAAACAUAUUUGUAAAUUGUCUACUGAAGGGAUUGUAUGAUGACUACUUUAAAAUCUUUGUCAGAUAAUUCUAACACCUCUGCCAUUUUGGUAUUGGCAUCUAUUGAUUGCCUUUUUUUUCAGUUAGUUUGAAAUCCUAAUUCCUGAAUGAUAAAUACUUUCAUACUGAAACCUGAACAUUUAGGCAUUAUAUAAUGAGAUUCUGGAUCUUACUUAAACAAGUUUUGGAUGGCUUCCUUUGACAUUUCUUUAACAAGGAAAGAAGGGGACACAAUCUCCCAACUUCCAGGUGACGGCAAAUACAGUACAGGUUCCCAUUGUGACUUCCUUUGAGAUUCAAGGAAAUGGGCCAACAUUUCUGGAGAGUAGGGGUGGGAGUUCAUGCCCCCCCCCCCUCCGCCUCCCCAGGCCUUCACUGAUCUCUCUUUGGAUGGAAGAAGUAGGAGCACCUUAUUUGUGUUCCCCACUUGGCCACUUGGGCUUCAUAACCUCACCCGACUAGUCCCACAGGGAUGGUAAUGUGGCCUCAUUAACACUAAACAAAGGUGAAAUUUUUUACUUUAAUCCUCCUCUUAUGUUACCCCACUGGGGAAGGGAGAAUAUACCUUGUUAUUGCUAAAUUAUGGUGGCAUUCCAGCUUCCUCAUGUAGUCUUUACACCAAAGGGUUAGAGGGCUCAUUACCAACUGGCAGGGAUGAUCCCUGGCUCUCCAGCUGGUCUUGUCUGACACCACAACUAGCAGGUGGAUUGGGAGAUCUUAUUUUAUUAUGACAAAGGUGAAAAUCUAGGAUGCUCACUCAGCCUUUGCUGGCAUGACUAGAGGUGAGGUCUUGUUUCCUUCCAUGGAGUUUGGUUGGAAUAUAGUGAUUACUGUCUAAACAUUUUCUGUCUUGUUAGGCUACCCUUUUCCUGAUAUUUGGCCAGAGAUAAUAGCCUUUUGUUGGGCUCUGUUUGGCUUGUGUUUGUUGGUAUUUCCAGGGACGACCUUCUUAAGCUCCAACUUUGAUUAUAUUAGGCAAAGACAAAAUCCAGUGAACUCAUCACUUAUUGUGUCAUUAUUUGGGUUCCAAUGUCACUAGCUAGUUUGAUUUCAUCUUUCCACCUUUUUUUAGCCUUUCUAUGUUUCUUUUAAUGUCUGAAGCUUUUAAUAGUACUCAGCGGAAAGGAGAAGAACAUUAUGCCUAUUCUGUCAUUCCAAAACUAGUUACCACUUGAUUUUUCUGGAGCUCUGAAUAUGUAAUAUGUUUCUUUUUCUGAGAAAAUUUAAUUCAUUAUUUCAAAAGGACAUGAUUGACUUCCUUUAGGUAUACCUACAUAAUACCCGUGGUAUUUUGAGUAUUCAAAACACUACAGGUUUGUAAUUAUAUACCAUACAUCUAUGGACAGUGCUUAAAGGUACUCACAGAAUUUCUCCAGGCAUCUCUCCUCCAGUAUAGGAAGAACAGCCCAGUUGUAUCUGUUUUCUAUUAUGGCUUCAAUGUAGUAUUUUAUUUGAAAAAAAAUUAUUCUGAUUUUUUUAAAAGUUUGAAAAUAUUUAAGUUCCAAAUGUUCUCAAUUGUAGUUUUAUAAAGUAUUAAACUCUACUGGAUAUGACUUGACUGAGUAUUUUCUCAGCUCCCCUCAGAAUGGGACACAGCUAGUAACAUUAUAAAUACAUAGAAGUUCAUUUAUUGCAUACAAUGAAUACUUUAGUUACUGGGGAUUAAUUCUUACUGCAAAUGUAAAAUAUUGUCCAGAGUUUUUCCAGGGUAUAAUACAGAGAACUAAAAGCUUAAAACAGUAGUCAGUGCUAUUUCAAGUAUGAAAAGAUAAUUAUGUCAACCAACUUGAAAGAAAUAAAUUUAAUUUUGUUCUAAGAGAGGAAACAAGCAGCUUUUGAGCAUCUAAUCAAAUUAUGCUCUACUAAUUACAAAGGCUAACUGACUGUAUUAACUGUGCCAAAUAUUUACUUACAGCUUAAAUAUGAAGAAUGAAUAUAUUCUCAAGUUGGUGAAUGUCAUCCUAAAUUCAUGAAAAUAUUAUUGACCAAUGCAUGUAGAAUGGAUUAAAAAGAUAAGAAUUUAUCUAACACAACCUCAAAAUUUCAAUAAUCAAAUACAUAGAGUAUUCACUCUUCUCCCUGUUCACAGAUGAAAAAGAUACAACUUUUCAUCCUUCAUCUAGAUUAUAAUUCAUCCAAAUGAGUUACUAUAACUAUGCCACUCAAGUUCAUCCUCACUGGAGGCAGGGUGGAGUUUUCUACAUACUGCAGUAUAAGAUUUGGUUACACAUCUACUGUAACUUAGAGGACAGCAAAUGCACCCCCUUCAAAUCCUCCUGGGAAGUCUAAUGACACAAUAAAGGUAACUAGAAAGGCCUAUGGAUUAUCAUGAAACGAGUCACUCAGAAUAGACUUAUGCGGCCUGAAACCAUGGCUUUUCCUCAGCUCUUAUCAUCAAGAAACAUAUGGAUGAACAUAGAGAUGGAAAGAAGCAAACAUAUUAAGUGCAGUAAAAAUGUCUGCUUCAAUGAGCUUGUCAACAUUGCCUGAAUGAUGAAACACAGAUACAGAUAUUUACCCAGAGGGCUCCCUAGCACCAUUAAAUGUUCUGUGGACUAGCCAGGCUCUGAGUUUCAUAUUGACAGCAACAUUUUAGCCACAUUUUCUACAAAUCAACAGUGGUGCCGAUUUGCUGCUGGUUAAGGAGUAGAAAAAUGGAAUAGUUCAUAGUAGCAGAAUAUGUUGACAUAAUAAAAAAUGUUUAAUGUAAUUGUCUAAAGAAUUACUUUUGUUUCAGCAAUGGUGUUUUUAAUCUUCAAGAACCAGAAAACACAAAGGCUACAGAAAGUCAUAAAAAAUAUCAAAUAUCAUAGUUUUUAUUGUAACCAGAUUGAUGUAGAAUGAUAUUAGGAUUCCCUUCUUUGGAAUAAAACAUAAGGAUGUUUUUGUGUAAAAUCGGGAUUAUCAAAGACCAGUUAACACUAAAUGUUCUUCCUUAUGUCUUAUAAUCAUCUCAAACACAUGUUGUCACGUAGUCGUUGAAAAUAAAACCUGAUUCUUUGAGAAUCAUGAUAAAAGAAGAAAAGGGAUAUGGUGACUGUGUAGCUACUACAGCACCAUUGGGAACAGAAACAAAAUGAUGAUUUCUUCACAAUAUGUUAAUGAAUGGAUAUGGGAGGAGUUCCCGUCGUGGCGCAGUGGAAACAAAUCCGACUAGGAACUACGAGGUUGCAGGUUCUAUCCUUCGCUUCGGUCAGUGAGUUAAGGAUCUGGCGUGAACUGUGGUGUAGGUCACAGACACAGCUCGGAUCUGGUGUUGCUGUGGCUGUGGCGUAGGCUAGUAGCUGUAGCUCUGAUUGGACCCCUCCAUAUGCUGCAGAUGCGGCCCUAAAAAUCAAACAACAAGGACAACAAUGGGUAUGGGAUAGGUAGGUUAUAAUCCAAAGCGUGAUACUUCUCUUUCCUUGGGCCCUGUUCGUGUUUGGUCUAAAUUAAGUACCUUCACCGUUAUGUUGAAUGAAGUGGGCAAAUGUAAAGGUUUCUGUUGUGAUGAAGCUGGGAAUUAGAAGCAGUUCGUCUUCCCCUGUUUACUGAAGCCCAAAACUACACCAGUACGCAUUUGCUCAGAUCCAAGCCUACCCCCACUUCCCAGUUUCUAUAAGGAGAUAUAGUCUUUAAAUCCAUAAUUUUGAGCUGGCAGAGAGUUCUGAACAUUUUAAUAUAAUUUAUAUCAUUUAGUUCUGUUGUAUUUUAAUCUGUUAACUAAAUAUUUAAAAUAUUGAAUAUUUAUGAUUUGAAUUUUAUGAUUUCAGAGUAUAGAAAAUUAUAAACAUUUAUGUUCCUCUCAGAGACCUUGGUCUUCACUAUUCCCUCUUAGACUCAAGUAGAAGUGAAAAAAAAGUAAAAACAGAUUUAGUUUUUCUUAUACUGAUGAAAUACUUCGAUUCUUUGAGAGUUACCUCUUUGAGAGAGCUAUCUAUUUGUAUCAUGACAAGGUUAUAGUUGUUUAUAAUUCUACUUGGAAUUUAAGUAAUAGUUGUUAGGAAACCUAUGAAAUAUAUAAAGCAGUAAGUGUCACAACAAGCACAGUCAAUGAUAUAAAGUCAAUUUUAAUAUCUAUAUGAUGAGCUGGGAGACUGGAAGGAAGAUUCUUAAUUUUUUUAUAUUACUAAUUAUCAUUCUGUUGUUU
rnacentral:lncRNA from 1 species